GACUAUGUUUUAUUUUAGCCAUUCCACUGGGCUGGUGGCUGAGAAAGCAAGUCUGAGGCUUUACAGCACAUGGAAGGAGGCUGACGGGAAGCUGUGGAAGUUAUGGAGGCUGAGAAGUUCCAGUUUGAGGAGCCACAUCUGCUGAGAGCCUUCUUGAUGAUGGGGAUUGCUGAGGAGUCCUUGAGGCAGCCCAGGGAACUGCGAAGACUAGAGUGACCCUGGAUAUCUCAUCUGGAAGAUGGUAGCACUGCCAUCAGCCUGGGUUUCCAAAUGACCUCAUGGAUCACAGCUACCAUGGCCUGAAAUGCUGACCUUGGAGUUGUUAUAAGAGAAAAAUAAACUUCUUUGUUCUUCGAGCCACAUCAUUAUCAGGUCUCUUCUUAAAGC